UGUCCCGUGGUGUAGAGGCUGCACAGGAGAUUUUGAUUCUCUUAGUUCUGGUUCGAUUCCAGACGGGACAACCA
rnacentral:tRNA from 1 species